rnacentral:rRNA from 1 species
AGACCCGAAACCCGGUGAUCUAGCCAUGGGCAGGUUGAAGGUUGGGUAACACUAACUGGAGGACCGAACCGACUAAUGUUGAAAAAUUAGCGGAUGACCUGUGGCUGGGGGUGAAAGGCCAAUCAAACCGGGAGAUAGCUGGUUCUCCCCGAAAGCUAUUUAGGUAGCGCCUCGUGAAUUCAUCUCCGGGGGUAGAGCACUGUUUCGGCCAGGGGGCCAUCCCGGCUUACCAAUCCGAUGCAAACUGCGAAUACCGGAGAAUGUUAUCACGGGAGACACACGGCGGGUGCUAACGUCCGUCGUGAAGAGGGAAACAACCCAGACCGCCAGCUAAGGUCCCAAAGUCAUGGUUAAGUGGGAAACGAUGUGGGAAGGCCCAGACAGCCAGGAUGUUGGCUUAGAAGCAGCCAUCAUUUAAAGAAAGCGUAAUAGCUCACUGGUCGAGUCGGCCUGCGCGGAAGAUGUAACGGGGCUAAACCAUGCACCGAAGCUGCGGCAGCGAACGUAUCACCCAAGACAACUUUGCACAGUUGACGAUUGACGGAGCGAAGCGACGUCAAAGCGUUUUACAACGUCGAGUUGGCUUAGGGAUACGUUCGUUGGGUAGGGGAGCGUUCUGUAA